rnacentral:rRNA from 1 species
GACGAAGGGGGCUAGCGUUGCUCGGAAUCACUGGGCGUAAAGCGCACGUAGGCGGCUUACUAAGUCAGGGGUGAAAUCCUGGAGCUCAACUCCAGAACUGCCUUUGAUACUGGUGAGCUUGAGUUCGGGAGAGGUGAGUGGAACUGCGAGUGUAGAGGUGAAAUUCGUAGAUAUUCGCAAGAACACCAGUGGCGAAGGCGGCUCACUGGCCCGAUACUGACGCUGAGGUGCGAAAGCGUGGGGAGCAAACAGG